rnacentral:rRNA from 14 species
CCGUCGUGAGACAGGUCAGUUUUAUCCUGCUGAUGAUAUGUUGUCGCGGCAGUAAUCCA